GUCGACGAUGAAGCUUCCUGCUUGCAGGAAGUGGAUUAGUGGCGAACGGGUGAGUAUCACGUGAGCAACCUGCCCUUGACUCUGGGAUAAGCCUGGGAAACUGGGUCUAAUACCGGAUAUAACCUCUUACCGCAUGGUGAGUGGUGGAAAGCUUUUGCGGUCUUGGAUGGGCUCGCGGCCUAUCAGCUUGACGGUGAGGUAGUGGCUCACCGUGGCGAUGACGGGUAGCCGGCCUGAGAGGGUGACCGGCCACACUGGGACUGAGACACGGCCCAGACUCCUACGGGAGGCAGCAGUGGGGAAUAUUGCACAAUGGGCGAAAGCCUGAUGCAGCGACGCCGCGUGCGGGAUGACGGCCUUCGGGUUGUAAACCGCUUUCAGCAGGGAAGAAGCGCAAGUGACGGUACCUGCAGAAGAAGCGCCGGCUAACUACGUGCCAGCAGCCGCGGUAAUACGUAGGGCGCGAGCGUUAUCCGGAAUUAUUGGGCGUAAAGAGCUCGUAGGCGGUUUGCCGCGUCUGCUGUGAAAGCCCGGGGCUUAACUCCGGGUGUGCAGUGGGUACGGGCAGACUAGAGUGCAGUAGGGGAGACUGGAAUUCCUGGUGUAGCGGUGAAAUGCGCAGAUAUCAGGAGGAACACCGAUGGCGAAGGCAGGUCUCUGGGCUGUUACUGACGCUGAGGAGCGAAAGCAUGGGGAGCGAACAGGAUUAGAUACCCUGGUAGUCCAUGCCGUAAACGUUGGGCACUAGGUGU
rnacentral:rRNA from 2 species